GUGCCAGCAGCCGCGGUAAUACGAAGGGGGCUAGCGUUGUUCGGAAUUACUGGGCGUAAAGGGCGCGUAGGCGGUUGUCCAAGUCAGGUGUGAAAGCCCAGGGCUCAACCCUGGAUGUGCACUUGAGACUGGGCGGCUUGGGUUCGGGAGAGGAUGGUGGAAUUCCCAGUGUAGAGGUGAAAUUCGUAGAUAUUGGGAAGAACACCGGUGGCGAAGGCGGCCAUCUGGACCGAUACCGACGCUGAGGCGCGAAAGCGUGGGGAGCAAACAGGAUUAGAUACCCUGGUAGUCCACGCUGUAAACGAUGAGUGCUAGACGUUGGGGGGCAUAGCCUUCCGGUGUCGCAGCUAACGCAUUAAGCACUCCGCCUGGGGAGUACGGCCGCAAGGUUAAA
rnacentral:rRNA from 1 species